rnacentral:tRNA from 1 species
AUUCAAAUAGCUUAUAUUUAGAGUAUGACACUGAAGAUGUUAGGGAAAUUAAUUUAAUUUUUGAAUA